AUUGAACGCUGGCGGCAGGCCUAACACAUGCAAGUCGAGCGGAUGAAGGGAGCUUGCUCCUGGAUUCAGCGGCGGACGGGUGAGUAAUGCCUAGGAAUCUGCCUGGUAGUGGGGGAUAACGUCCGGAAACGGGCGCUAAUACCGCAUACGUCCUUAGGGAGAAAGUGGGGGAUCUUCGGACCUCACGCUAUCAGAUGAGCCUAGGUCGGAUUAGCUAGUUGGUGGGGUAAAGGCCUACCAAGGCGACGAUCCGUAACUGGUCUGAGAGGAUGAUCAGUCACACUGGAACUGAGACACGGUCCAGACUCCUACGGGAGGCAGCAGUGGGGAAUAUUGGACAAUGGGCGAAAGCCUGAUCCAGCCAUGCCGCGUGUGUGAAGAAGGUCUUCGGAUUGUAAAGCACUUUAAGUUGGGAGGAAGGGCAGUAAGUUAAUACCUUGCUGUUUUGACGUUACCAACAGAAUAAGCACCGGCUAACUUCGUG
rnacentral:rRNA from 1 species